CAAUAGCGUAUAUUAAAGUUGUUGCAGUUCAAAAGCUCGUAGUUGGAUUUCUGGUUUGAUGCCCUGGCCCGCUGCUAUUUUAGUAGUGUGUGCCGGUUGUGCGUCUGCCAUCCUCUCAGGGAACGUUCCUUCUCUUCACUGAGCCGGGUUCGUGAUCUAGAUCGUUUACUUUGAAAAAUUAGAGUGUUUAAAGCAGGCUUUUGCUAUGAAUACAUUAGCAUGGAAUAAUAAUCUAGGACUUCGGUGCUAUUUGUUUGGUUUCUUGGAACUGAAGUAAUGAUUGAUAGGGAGUAGUUGGGGGUUGGCGUAGUAUUGUAGCGGCCGAGAGGUGGAAAUUACUUGGUAUUCGUCUCAAGACUAACUUAUGCGAAAGACAUUCACCAAGGAUGUCUUCUUUAAUUCAAGAACGAAAGUUGGGGGAUCGAAGACGAUCAGAUACCAU
rnacentral:rRNA from 1 species